UAAUGGCUUACCAAGGCUUUGACGGGUAACCGGCCUGAGAGGGUGACCGGUCACAUUGGGACUGAGAUACGGCCCAGACUCCUACGGGAGGCAGCAGUGGGGAAUAUUGCACAAUGGACGAAAGUCUGAUGCAGCGACGCCGCGUGAGGGAUGAAGGCCUUCGGGUUGUAAACCUUUUUCGCUUUUGACCAAGGCAGCAUUUUGGUGUUGUUGAGGGUAUGAGGUAAAGAAGCUCCGGCUAACUACGUGCCAGCAGCCGCGGUAAUACGUAGGGAGCGAGCGUUGUCCGGAUUUAUCGGGCGUAAAGGGCUUGUAGGUGGCUUGUCGCGUCUGCCGUGAAAUUCCGCAGCUUAACUGUGGUAGUGCGGUGGGUACGGGCAGGCUUGAGUGUGGUAGGGGAGACUGGAAUUCCUGGUGUAGCGGUGGAAUGCGCAGAUAUCAGGAGGAACACCGGUGGCGAAGGCGGGUCUCUGGGCCAUUACUGACGCUGAGGAGCGAAAGCGUGGGGAGCGAACAGGAUUAGAUACCCUGGUAGUCCACGCUGUAAACGUUGGGAACUAGGUGUGGGGCCCGUCAUGGGUUCUGUGCCGGCGCUAACGCAUUAAGUUCCCCGCCUGGGGAGUACGGCCGCAAGGCUAAAACUCAAAGGAAUUGACGGGGGCCCGCACAAGCGGCGGAGCAUGCGGAUUAAUUCGAGGCAACGCGAAGAACCUUACCAAGGCUUGACAUACACCGGAAGCCGCCAGAGAUGGUGGUCUCUUUGAUACUGGUGUACAGGUGGUGCAUGGUUGUCGUCAGCUCGUGUCGUGAGAUGUUGGGUUAAGUCCCGCAACGAGCGCAACCCUUGUCCUAUGUUGCCAGCACGUUAUGGUGGGGACUCAUGGGAGACUGCCGGGGUUAACUCGGAGGAAGGUGGGGAUGACGUCAAAUCAUCAUGCCCCUUAUGUCUUGGGCUUCACGCAUGCUACAAUGGCCGGUACAGAGGGAAGCGAUAUCGUGAGGUGGAGCGGAUCCCUUAAAGCCGGUCUCAGUUCGGAUCGAAGUCUGCAACUCGACUUCGUGAAGGUGGAGUCGCUAGUAAUCGCAGAUCAGCAACGCUGCGGUGAAUACGUUCUCGGGCCUUGUGCACACCGCCCGUCACGUCAUGAAAGUUGGUAACACCCGAAGCGCGUGGCCUAACCUUUUUGGGGGGAGCGUGCGAAGGUGGGAUUGGCGAUUGGGACGAAGUCGU
rnacentral:rRNA from 1 species